rnacentral:lncRNA from 1 species
UUCUUCUUCUUCUUCUUCUUCUUCUCCUUUUUCUUCAUCUCCUUCUCCUUCUUGUUCUUCUAGUAUUCUUCUUCUUCUCCUCCUCUUUCUUCUUCUUCUUCUUCUUCUUCUUCUUCUUCUUCUUCUUCUUCUUCUUCUUUUUCUAGUCUAUUUUUUUCUCCUCCUCCUCCUCCUCCUCCUCCUUAUUCUUCUAGUUUUAUUCUUCUUCUUCUUCUAACAUUCUUA